UGGGGCGUCGUCCAAUGGCAGGACUUCGGUUUUUGGUGCCGACUAUUGGGGUUCGAAUCCCUACGCCCCAGCCA
rnacentral:tRNA from 1 species